rnacentral:rRNA from 1 species
AACGAACGCUGGCGGCAUGCCUAACACAUGCAAGUCGAACGAGACCUUCGGGUCUAGUGGCGCACGGGUGCGUAACGCGUGGGAACCUGCCCUUAGGUUCGGAAUAACUCCCCGAAAGGGGUGCUAAUACCGGAUAAUGUCUUCGGACCAAAGAUUUAUCGCCUUUGGAUGGGCCUGCGUUGGAUUAGCUAGUUGUUAGGGUAAAAGCCUACCAAGGCUACGAUCCAUAGCUGGUCUGAGAGGAAGAUCAGCCACACUGGGACUGAGACACGGCCCAGACUACUACGGGAGGGAGGAGUGGGGAAUAUUGGAAAAUGGGGGAAAGGCUGAACCAGCAAUGCCGGGUGAGUGAUGAAGGCCUGAGGGUUGUAAAGCUAGUUUACACGGGAUGAUAAUGACAGUACCGGGAGAAUAAGCUCCGGCUAACUCCGUG